AGAGCUUCUGCAAAAUCGACCAAAAUCAAAAAGCUAUGAAGCUUCUUCAAGAGUAAUAAUUGGUUCCACAUAAUUUGACCAGUCAUUGUAAAAGCUUUUCUAUUUAGUUCGUUGAGAAAAACCCUCCAUUGAAGCUUCUUCAAGAGCAAAAAGCAGCUCCAAAUCCAGCAAGAUUUCGACCAGCAAAGGCUUCGACCGAUAUUGAUCUCUACCCCAAUAGGUCUGCAUGCACUCCUCCAUGGCUUAUAAGUUCCCUAUCUCUAGAUUUUCUAUUCAAGUAUUUUUGGAAAAGAUUACAAAAUACGCAAAUGGGUUUCUAUGAAGUUACUAUCUAUUAUUCUAAUUUAUAUUUGGUUUUUAAUUUUGGUGCGGUUUGAAAUUUGUAUCUCAAAUUUGGUGUAAAUUUGAGUUUUCCGAAAAACAAUUUGAUGAAAAAAAUUUAGGUUUUACAAAAUUGGAGUUUGAGAAACUGGGUUUCAAUUCAUUGAGCCAAAAUUUAUUUGAAGUUUAUUUUGUACUUAAUAUUGAGUUUACUGUUGUUUGGGAGGAAUUAAAGUGACAACUACCUUUCAAAACUCCAUUAUUGAGGUCGACAGAAUUCUAAUACAUAAAAUAGGAAAAUUUAAAGUUGGUAGAGUUGGAGAAAAUUGUUGUUUAUAUAUGGGGAUUUUUCUUUUUGUGUUUGUUUUCUGUUUCGUUGACUCUUGUGUUCCAAAAUGGGUGUUCUGGUUAUAUAGUAGGAUACAACUAAACCAAGGAAUUUAAGAAAAUCAAUAUUAUGGAUAGUCGCAUUACCACCUUCAUAUGCUAUUCAACUUUAUCUUCUGCUUCAUUUGCUAUGUGUCUGACUUUUACUUGCAAAUUCUUCGUUUGUUCAUCAUCAAAAUGGUCAAGAAGUUCAUGAAGAGAAUCAACCUCAUCGUAGAGUAAAUUCAAACUUCCCACAUGAGUGUCCAAUAGAUCUAAGUUUGAUUGCAAAAGCUGAAGCUGUUGUAUUGUUCCCAUUACUGAAGUCAUGCAACAUAUGCAGCCAUCUCUCUCUGUACUUUUGUUGUAAAAUAAUGAAUUAUUGGACUAGGUAGACAUUUAAAAUGACAGAUAUGGAAAACACUAAUAUAAAAGUUGUCAUUGUUUUAACAAUUGAUAAUCUCGAUCCAACAUAUACACACAGAUGUGGAUUAAUCGUGUCGAUUAUACCCAAAAUCAUAUCUAAGUAUCUAACAUAUUUAACAAGUCCCUCAUUUUAACGCAUACCUUUCUAAUUACUCGGGACGCCCCAACAAGAACUGGUGUGCUCGUCCAUACAUUAUAUAAAAAAUAAGCUACUUAUCACCAAGGAAAAUUGGAGAAAAAGGUACAAAAUAGCCAAUUACAAUCCGAACAGAAGAAAAUGAUCAUACAAUGAUAUUUUGUGUCUUAUAUUACAUGUUAAGUUGAUUCUAUGCUCACUUAGCUGUUUGUGUUUUGAAUUGUAGGAUCCCUGUGCUGUCAGCGUUGUUCUUCUUCUGAUACUCUCAUCAUUUUAGUAUCUGAAUAAGUGGACAAGAUAUAAUUAGGU
rnacentral:lncRNA from 1 species